rnacentral:rRNA from 1 species
UAGGGAAUCUUCCGCAAUGGGCGAAAGCCUGACGGAGCAACGCCGCGUGAGUGAUGAAGGUCUUCGGAUCGUAAAACUCUGUUAUUAGGGAAGAACAAAUGUGUAAGUAACUAUGCACGUCUUGACGGUACCUAAUCAGAAAGCCACGGCUAACUACGUGCCAGCAGCCGCGGUAAUACGUAGGUGGCAAGCGUUAUCCGGAAUUAUUGGGCGUAAAGCGCGCGUAGGCGGUUUUUUAAGUCUGAUGUGAAAGCCCACGGCUCAACCGUGGAGGGUCAUUGGAAACUGGAAAACUUGAGUGCAGAAGAGGAAAGGGGAAUUCCAUGUGUAGCGGUGAAAUGCGCAGAGAUAUGGAGGAACACCAGUGGCGAAGGCGACUUUCUGAUCUGUAACUGACGCUGAUGUGCGAAAGCGUGGGGAUCAAACAGG